rnacentral:lncRNA from 1 species
AUGUCAUGGAGUUCUUAUUUUGUCUUGAAGUUAAGAUCUUUACAGUAGUAACCACUGCAUUGGUAAUAAAUGGAAGGAAGGAGUAGCCUGAGAUGUCUCAACAUUAGAAAAUCAGAAGAGGGAAGGAAGGAGUAGCCUGAGAUGCCUCAACGUCAG